rnacentral:rRNA from 1 species
CUACGUGCCAGCAGCCGCGGUAAUACGGAAGGUCCAGGCGUUAUCCGGAUUUAUUGGGUUUAAAGGGAGCGUAGGCGGAUUGUUAAGUCAGCGGUUAAAGGGUGUGGCUCAACCAUACAUUGCCGUUGAAACUGGCGAUCUUGAGUGCAGACAGGGAUGCCGGAAUUCGUGGUGUAGCGGUGAAAUGCUUAGAUAUCACGAAGAACUCCGAUCGCGAAGGCAGGUGUCCGGGCUGCAACUGACGCUGAAGCACGAAAGCGUGGGUAUCAAACAGGAUUAGAUACCCUGGUAGUCCACGCAGUAAACGAUGAUAACUGGGCGUAUGCGAUAUACAGUAUGCUCCUAAGCGAAAGCGUUAAGUUAUCCACCUGGGGAGUACGCCGGCAACGGUGAAACUCAAAGGAAUUGACGGGGGCCCGCACAAGCGGAGGAACAUGUGGUUUAAUUCGAUGAUACGCGAGGAACCUUACCCGGGAUUGAA